rnacentral:rRNA from 1 species
UUACCCCGCCAUAGCAAACUCCGAAUACCGAAGAGUGCAAUCACGGGAGACAGACAUCGGGUGCUAACGUCCGGUGUCAAGAGGGAAACAACCCAGACCGCCAGCUAAGGUCCCCAAAUAUAGCUAAGUGGGAAACGAAGUGGGAAGGCUAAAACAGUCAGGAGGUUGGCUUAGAAGCAGCCACCCUUUAAAGAAAGCGUAAUAGCUCACUGAUCGAGUCGUCCUGCGCGGAAGAUGUAACGGGGCUAAGCUAUAUACCGAAGCUGCGGAUGCGUGUUUACACGCAUGGUAGGAGAGCGUUCUGUAAGCCUGCGAAGGUGUCUCGGAAGGGAUGCUGGAGGUAUCAGAAGUGCGAAUGCUGACAUGAGUAGCGAUAAAGGGGGUGAAAGGCCCCCUCGCCGUAAGCCCAAGGUUUCCUACGCAACGUUCAUCGGCGUAGGGUGAGUCGGCCCCUAAGGCGAGGCAGAAAUGCGUAGCUGAUGGGAAGCAGGUCAAUAUUCCUGCACCAUUGUUAGAUGCGAUGGGGGGACGGAUCGCGGAAGGUUGUCCGGGUGUUGGAAGUCCCGGUCGCUGCAUUGGAGAAGGCGCUUAGGCAAAUCCGGGCGCGGAAUUCAAGGGUGUGGCGCGAGCUCCUUAGGGAGCGAAGCAAUUGGAAGUGGUUCCAAGAAAAGCCUCUAAGCUUCAGUCUAAUGAUGACCGUACCGCAAACCGACACAGGUGGGCGAGAUGAGUAUUCUAAGGCGCUUGAGAGAACUCGGGAGAAGGAACUCGGCAAAUUGGUACCGUAACUUCGGGAUAAGGUACGCCCUUGUAGCUUGAUGCCCCUGCGGGCAAAGGGUGAAGGGGUUGCAAUAAACUGGUGGCUGCGACUGUUUAAUAAAAACACAGCACUCUGCAAACACGAAAGUGGACGUAUAGGGUGUGACGCCUGCCCGGUGCCGGAAGAUUAAAUGAUGGGGUGCAAGCUCUUGAUUGAAGUCCCGGUAAACGGCGGCCGUAACUAUAACGGUCCUAAGGUAGCGAAAUUCCUUGUCGGGUAAGUUCCGACCUGCACGAAUGGCGUAACGAUGGCCACACUGUCUCCUCCCGAGACUCAGCGAAGUUGAAGUGUUUGUGAUGAUGCAAUCUACCCGCGGCUAGACGGAAAGACCCCAUGAACCUUUACUGUAGCUUUGCAUUGGACUUUGAACCGAUCUGUGUAGGAUAGGUGGGAGGCUAUGAAACCGGAACGCUAGUUUCGGUGGAGCCGUCCUUGAAAUACCACCCUGGUUUGUUUGAGGUUCUAACCUUGGCCCGUGAUCCGGGUCGGGGACAGUGCAUGGUAGGCAGUUUGACUGGGGCGGUCUCCUCCCAAAGCGUAACGGAGGAGUACGAAGGUACGCUAGGUACGGUCGGAAAUCGUGCUGAUAGUGCAAUGGCAUAAGCGUGCUUAACUGCGAGACCGACAAGUCGAGCAGGUGCGAAAGCAGGUCAUAGUGAUCCGGUGGUUCUGUAUGGAAGGGCCAUCGCUCAACGGAUAAAAGGUACUCUGGGGAUAACAGGCUGAUACCGCCCAAGAGUUCAUAUCGACGGCGGUGUUUGGCACCUCGAUGUCGGCUCAUCUCAUCCUGGGGCUGUAGCCGGUCCCAAGGGUAUGGCUGUUCGCCAUUUAAAGAGGUACGUGAGCUGGGUUUAAAACGUCGUGAGACAGUUUGGUCCCUAUCUGCCGUGGGCGUUGGAUAUUUGAAGGGGGCUGCUCCUAGUACGAGAGGACCGGAGUGGACGAACCUCUGGUGUACCGGUUGUCACGCCAGUGGCAUCGCCGGGUAGCUAUGUUCGGAAGAGAUAACCGCUGAAAGCAUCUAAGCGGGAAACUCGCCUUAAGAUGAGAUAUCCCUGGGGACUAGAUCCCCUUGAAGGGUCGUUCGAGACCAGGACGUUGAUAGGUCAGGUGUGUAAGCGCAGUAAUGCGUUCAGCUAACUGAUACUAAUUGCCCGUAAGGCUUGAUCC